GAAUAUUAGUCAAUGCUCGAAAGAGUGAACUAGCUAACUGAAAUCAAUUAUAAAAAUUGAUAACAUAAGGGAAAAUAAUGAUAUUACCUUAUUAUUAGUGUCGUCCAAAUCUGGUGCCAGAAGACUCGGUAAGGCCAGAGACACAAACGUUAAUCGUCUUAAUCAGGCGUAAAGGGUUUGUAGGCGGCUUUAAAAUUUAAUUAUAACCAAAUAAUUAAAGAAUAAAAGCUAGAAUCAAAUAGAGGAUAUAUGAAAUAAUGCUUAGAGUAGGUCCGAUAUCCUUAGAUACUAAGUAGAAUAUUAAAGGCGAAAGCUUUUUUCCAUUAAUGAUUGACGCUCAGAAACGAAGGUGAGGAUAGGAAAUAGGAUUAGAUACCCAGAAUACCCCUCUCUGUCAACGAUGAAUGGUAGUUAUUAAUAUAAAUUUAUUAAUGGCAAUGUUAACACGAUAACCAUUCCGCCUUGUGAGUACAACUGCAAAGUUGAAAACAAAAAAAUUAGUCGGUUUCGGAGCAAACGAAGUGAAGCAUGUUAUUUAAUUC
rnacentral:rRNA from 1 species